CACGUAGGGGGCGAGCGUUGUCCGGAUUUAUUGGGCGUAAAGAGCUCGUAGGCGGCUCGGUAAGUCAGGUGUGAAACCUCCAGGCUCAACCUGGAGACGCCACCUGAUACUGCCGUGGCUAGAGUCCGGUAGAGGAGCGUAGAAUUCCUGGUGUAGCGGUGAAAUGCGCAGAUAUCAGGAGGAACACCGGUGGCGAAGGCGGGUCUCUGGGCCGAUACUGACGCUGAGGAGCGAAAGCGUGGGGAGCGAACAGG
rnacentral:rRNA from 1 species